UCGGAUCUUGCUCCCAUCAUUACCCCGAAGCGGGUGUCUCCAAGCCCUUCGAUUUAUUUGAUCCGAGACGACGACUACAACAAUGCGACAGUAAAUGUUCCCUCCUCUCUGCCUUAUCACUCUCCUCUCUUCCAGUUUAGCUUUUCCUUUUUCUAAUACCUUGUUAUUGUCCAUGCAAGAUAAUACAUUAGAUAAUAAUUGUGCAAAUAAGCGAUCUUUUCACAGGCAUAAUCUCCUGUGGUAACCUGAUACUGUCGAACAAUCAUUUGUUUUUUUAAAAAAAUAUUUUACAUUCAACAUGUAUUGGAGGACACUGAAUUUCAUCUGUGUCAAACAGCCUAUUGUAUUCCUUAUUUGGUGAUUGGGUUGUGGUUUUGAAUCAGAGUGAUUCUGAAGAGAGGGACUUGAUGGUGGGUGGGAGCAUAAGCUCUGAGUAUGUAAACGAUGUUACAAGAAACACUAUGUUGCAUACAUCAGAUAUUCUCGCAUUUCAUCUUUUAGAACCAAGGAAGAAAUCAACCAACUGUAUUCAUACAAAAAGCUCAUAGGGGACUGACUGUGUACCAUUGCUUAGCCGAAAUGUAAAUAUCUAGUGCUAGCGUAAAUGCUAGAGUCGAGUGCGAGAAUCAACUGAAAAGAAUACGAUGCUUUCUCUUAUCACUCGUCGUGCGUUACUCGAAGAUUACAUUAUUCUUGUUCUCUUUGUGCUGUAAAGGGUGAGCUUUCUAUAUUGCCUAGGUCAGAAUCAUAUUCAUGUCUCCAGGAAAAACAAAUGGUCCCCGUCAUGAAUCACUGUAAUAUCGUCUAUUUCUGCGUACUCUUGAUUGACCACUGUAAUUGGAUAAUAGCCAGGAAACUUCUGCCCUGCAAUGUUGCAACAUACAGAAAUAGCAGUAAGGCCAUGUAGGAAUAAUUCAGUUCGUGGAAAUAAAUGCCCUUUAAAAGCUUGUUUUAGGUUUAGGAUUUAGAGUGUCGACUGAACCUAAUUUUUGUAGAUUUUCUUGUCAAAUAUUCUUGUGAUGAAAGAACACUUACUAGCAGUCGUAAAAAGCUCCUCAAGGGAACCAGGUAGAUUUAUUAGUUUUCCAUUCCUUAUUCUUGAACUUUUCGGCUGUUGAGGAUGCAUAUGAAUGGUAACUCUUUUGUUGGUUGAUUUCGCAUUGUUGUUGUCAACCAAGUAUCUGCCGCUUGAUGAACGUGUAUCUGUUGUUAUCUCAGAAAACCUAGAGUGCGCGAUCACUUGGCUUCUCUCCCAAUCACCUUUAUCUGUAUUACUUUUUCCAAUGAUUUUCAUUGGUAUUUCAAUUAGAUGGUCUUCUACAAAUUCUGCCCUGUUUCUGUUACUCGACAAAUGUAGAUGGUUGUCUUCCUUUGCUUGUUUGUCCAUGUAUGCCCCUCCUUCAGGCAAAACAGUGACUAUAUUGAAUUGAUCCUUUUGGACAGGCCUAUAAAGGGCUGUUCUGCCAUCUGCAUUUGUUGAAUUUGCAUCACUUCCACACCUUGGAAAUCCAUUAAUUGCACUUAUUUCAUGAUUUUCUGCUUCUGAUGUCAACAUCAGCUGUGUUUGAACCCGAUUUCCGUCAAAUGGUGGGGUGGAAAAUUCCGAAUCAUUCUGCUGCACUCUAGCAGAUGGGCUUUCAUGCAGCUUCAGCUUCUGUAAAACGUUUUCAGAAGCAUAAAUUCCUAUUCUGCCAAAAUGAGAACAUUAUUAUGCAAUUCGUUGGUGUAACUAGAAAAGAUAAAUAGUAACUAUACCUGGAAAAGGUUCUUCAUUACAAUUGUCCCGUCUUCUAUAUUUUCUCGAAUAAUGUUCGUGACUGUAUUUUUGCUUAGUCUCAAUAGUUGUGAAAUUUCAGUCGUACGAUAAGUAAAGGAUUGUGGCCUGUUUAAGAGAACCCCUGUCUCUCCAAAUAUGUCCCCAGCAGCUACUUUUCCAAGAACCUGAAUGAUGCAAGCAAUCCAGAUGUCAGUUUAUGUAUCUCACCUAUUUAUUAGUUUGUUUAUGUGAAGGAAAACUCGUACUUGUUCGAUCCCAUCGAUGCUUGCUCUCAAUUCCUGCAAAAUAAGACAAUAAGCAUUAAAAUUGAUGGUGAAAUAUAUAUAUAUAUAUAUAUAAUCUUAAGUCGAGAAUAAAGAUUAGCAUAAAGAAGAUGGUUAUACUAACCACUGUUCCUGAUACCAAUAUGUAAAUGUCUGAUGGAGCUUCAUUCUGAAGAAUUACAUCUUCUUUAGGAGGAAAAUACUCGGCCUGCAUUUCUGUAACCUAUUUUUGGUGCAAAAUUAUUACCAUAUGAGUGCUGUUUGUAAGGUUUAUGCUAUGGAUAGUGCGUUUGCAACAUGUGUUUAAAUUCAGGAUGCUAUACCAGUUGAAAAAUGAAAUUAGAGGAAACUCCUUGGAAAAGAUAGACUUUCUGUACGACGGGGAAGAACAAGUGGUAUGCUAUGCUUGACCGAAUUCCUUUGGGUAGACCGGUCAAGGUUUCGUGUUGUUUGAGGCCAUCUGUCUUGAACCUUAGGCAUAUGUGGAAUAACAUUUGAUCUUUUAUGUGUUCUGUUAGCUUAUUCCGUGCGGCGAAUUCAGAAGCAGCCUGGAUUGCAUCCCUCUACAGCAUUUAAGAAAGGAAGUUAAUAACGUGACGGGGAGAAAGUAAAAUAAUAAUGUUGCAUAUUUGAAUGUCAAAUGGGCUAGGUGGCCCGUGGGCUGGCCCAGCCGAAAACGAGCGGGGACAUGCUGGGCUGCUCCUUGUUGGGUUAUGGUCUAGCAUGGCCUAUGUCCACAGUCUGCAGCCUGACCGGGCACAGUCCGAUACUUAUUUUUUUAUUUUUUUUCUUUUUACAAAUAUGAUUAUAAUUAUUUAAAUUAUAAUUUUUUUAAUAAAACUUAUAUAAAAGUUAUCUAAUACGAAUAACUAUAUACAUUUUAUAAUAUACUAAUGUUCAAAAAAUGUAAAAAAUUAAAAUUAAAAAAUUUAAAAGAUGUUUAAAAAAAAACAUGCUACAUUGGGCCCCGCUCUUGGUCCAACUUCCCACAGGGGCUGGGCCAACCCCACCAAAUGAGUUCAUAUUAAUUUGAAACUUUUUCUAGUUGGUCCAUAUACAUAUUUAUACAAAUACAUAUACAUACAUAUAUAUACAUAUGCAUAUGCAUAUACAUACAUACAUAUGUUGAUAUAUAUGUAUGUGUGUGUGCGUGUGUGUAUCCAUAGUCCGGCUGGGGUGCUUCUAAUAGCACCAAAUACUUGGUGCUAUCAAGUUUUCCGCCGUUAGAUUUACUCUUUUGACCAUUUUCAUUUGUUAGAUUAUACUAUUCAACCAACCAUCCACUUAAUCCUAGGAGACUACUAUUAUCCAACCACACAUCCCUUCAUCCAAGGGCCCAAAACUUGAUAGCACCAAUGACUUGGUGCUAUUAGAAGCAUUGCAGCCUAAUUCUAUAUAUAUAUAUAUAUAUAUAUAUAUAUAUAUAUAUAUAUAUAUACUAAGGAGUUUGAAAGGCUACCUCAAAUUAGAACUAAAUGCUCUUCCUUUUCUUUCUGUGUAAUAGGCCAAUUUGGAGACCCAUUGCAUGUAAUAUUCAGUGAAUUCAAGUGAAUUAUUCGGCAUAUAUAUUUGUUUAUUUCCCUUGGGUAACAGGUAAUACAGGGCAUAUUUAUUGACAUGUACAAGGGACUAAAAAAAUUUUCUUCCUGAUUUAGUUUGUCAUAGGGUAAGACUAAAGAGUGCAUAUAAAUUGAAAUUUUGAUAACUGAGAUUUUCUUGAAACAGGGGGAAGAGCAAAACUUACGAAAUUUCUGGUGCGGCUUGUUCCAUGGACAACAAGGUUCGUCAUAUUGCCAAUGAGGUAUGCUGUUAAGCCCAAAUUAAAUAGCAUGUAAAAGAUGUCAAACAGCAUUUCUCUUGGAUUCUCAGCAUGUAAGUCGCCGU
rnacentral:lncRNA from 1 species